UACGUAGGGUGCGAGCGUUGUCCGGAAUUAUUGGGCGUAAAGAGCUUGUAGGCGGUCUGUUGCGUCGGAAGUGAAAACUCAGGGCUUAACCCUGAGCCUGCUUUCGAUACGGGCAGACUUGAGGGAUGUAGGGGAGAACGGAAUUCCUGGUGGAGCGGUGGAAUGCGCAGAUAUCAGGAGGAACACCAGUGGCGAAGGCGGUUCUCUGGACAUUUCCUGACGCUGAGAAGCGAAAGCGUGGGGAGCAAACAGG
rnacentral:rRNA from 1 species